rnacentral:rRNA from 1 species
AAUAGAUACCCCGGUAGUCCACGCCGUAAACGAUGAGUGCUAAGUGUUAGAGGGUUUCCGCCCUUUAGUGCUGCAGCUAACGCAUUAAGCACUCCGCCUGGGGAGUACGGUCGCAAGACUGAAACUCAAAGGGAAUUGACGGGGGCCCGCACAAGCGGUGGAGCAUGUGGUUUAAUUCGAAGCAACGCGAAGAACCUUACCAGGUCUUGACAUCCUCUGACAACUCUAGAGAUAGAGCGUUCCCCUUCGGGGGACAGAGUGACAGGUGGUGCAUGGUUGUCGUCAGCUCGUGUCGUGAGAUGUUGGGUUAAGUCCCGCAACGAGCGCAACCCUUGAUCUUAGUUGCCAGCAUUCAGUUGGGCACUCUAAGGUGACUGCCGGUGACAAACCGGAGGAAGGUGGGGAUGACGUCAAAUCAUCAUGCCCCUUAUGACCUGGGCUACACACGUGCUACAAUGGAUGGUACAAAGGGCUGCAAGACCGCGAGGUCAAGCCAAUCCCAUAAAACCAUUCUCAGUUCGGAUUGUAGG